UACGUAGGGGGCUAGCGUUGUCCGGAUUUAUUGGGCGUAAAGAGCGUGUAGGCGGCCAGGUAGUUCUGGUGUGAAGACUCGAGGCUUAACCUUGAGAUGUCAUCGGAAACCAUUUGGCUAGAGUCCGGAAGAGGAAAGUGGAAUUCCUGGUGUAGCGGUGAAAUGCGCAGAUAUCAGGAAGAACACCAAUGGCGAAAGCAGCUUUCUGGGACGGUACUGACGCUGAGACGCGAAAGCGUGGGGAGCGAACAGG
rnacentral:rRNA from 1 species